rnacentral:rRNA from 1 species
UCUGGUGAUGAUGGCAUGGAAGUAACACUCCUACCCAUUCCGAACAGGAAAGUUAAGAUCCAUAGCGCCGAAGGUACUG